GGGCAAAAAUUGUUUAAAGUCCAAGCAAUCAGACUAUUACCGGGAUUACGUGGGGAGGGGGAAGGGGCGCGCAGCACUUUGAGCAGAGCGAGGAAGGAAUUGCUGGAAGCAGCGAGGGGGGAAAUUGUCCAUCCUAGCGCUGUGCUCUGCUGCCACCUUGGCCGCGCCGCGGGACGUGCAGGCGGCCCCGCGGAGCUCGGGCUGCGCGCCCGCGGAGCGCUCCUGCCCUGCCCGGCCUGCGGAACCUCCCUCGGACAGCGCUACUGGCGGCCCCGCCCGCGGCACUGCCGUCACCAACUGGACAGGGAUAUUUGUGAUGUCCAAAGGCCUUAUCUUACACAUCUAAUGAAGAAAGCACUGAAAUUCCCAUUCACACACAUCUACCUGCCUCUCCAUCCUUCCUACAGCAUGACCACAGGGGCUCUGGAAGGACCUCCCGGAAUACCAGCUGCAGGCAGAGUUAAUAACCUGUAAAAGAGCUGAUUCUGGAGAUCUGAGUGAAAUGGCACUUUUGAAAUCGUGCUUUUAACCGCUGGGGAAAGUGCAGAAGCUCUGUAUACGUGCAUAUAAGAGGAACUCGUGCCAUGCAGAUGAGUUUGCAGACGCGGUGACAGAGAGGGACCGCAGGUGAGUCCCCAGCGAUCUGCUUUGCCAAGAGGAUUUUCCAGCCCCCUAAUCACAGAAAAGCCCUCCAUCUGCUCCCCAGAGCUGGCGGUUCUCAUCUGUUUCAAGUGAAAAUAACCAAGAAUGUAAAAUGGCAGGUAAAAAAGAAUGCUCAGCCAAGUAGCCGCGUUGUCCUGCAUUCCCCCAGCCAGCAUUCCCCGGUGCUGGGGUCUCGCUCCCCGGGCGAGAGAAAGAGCUGCAAAGGGUUAAGCCGCUGACUUUCUCGCUAGGCAAAGUUUGAGGAAGAAUAUGUCUGAGGCUGGAUACGCCGCAGCCCCGCGUUUGAAAUCUGUCACCCUCACUUAGGAGCGCUGCAUCUCUGCUUGUCACCGGUGAAUAAUGACGGCACGGCGAUAAGAUUGCUCGGCGGCGGUGCGCCGGGGCCGCCUGCGGGAAGAGAAGACAGGAAAUUGCGAGGCGUUUAGCCGCUUCAACGGGGUGUUCCUCUGUGUCAUCGGUGGGUGUCAGGGUCAAAUGACCGGCUGGAGAGCAGUUUGGCAAGAUAAUUUCUUUCCUCCUUUCCUUGAGAGCAACCUUGGGUGUUGGUGACCAGCUAUGGAAAACAGAGACCUCGGUGGUGAUCCUUAACACAGUACCAUGCUGGAGCCCAGCCGUGCUGCCACUUUCUCCCCUUUCAACCUGCCGGACCCGGUGGGCUUUGGGUGACCUACCGAGGAGGAACUCACUUCCGCAGGAGCAGGUAACGCCUGAUUAAGUCACUUUCUGGAUUGGCACAGUCUUGAUUUGACCAAAACGCGUCCUGAGUAUCAUUCACUGGUUUGAAGUAUAAACUGGUUGAGGGUCCAGGGAC
rnacentral:lncRNA from 1 species